GCCCUCUUGGCUAAGUGGUAUAGCGUGUCACUAGUAGUUCCUCUGGAUAUUUCUACGUGCCAUGACAAGAUCAGUGGUUCGAUUCCGCUAGUGGGCA